GAUUCUAGGUUGAAUUCAAGUCCCUAAUCUCUUUCUAACUUGAGUAAACCCUUCUAAUCGAAAGAGUUGUGAGUGGAACAUUAUUGUUGGGCAUGGAAACCCUAGAACUUGAAUUCAAGAGGAUUGAACGUCAAAAAGAUCAAAGUUGAAAGGGUUGACGAACAUUGUAUUAUGCUCAAAGGCUGGAAUUAAGGUAACGACAUACAGGUUGACGAUCCAGCUACUUAGGAGUGUUCGUAUCAGCUACUGUGGUGAGCCCCAGUUUCCUUCGGGGCGAUAUCAGUCAUGCAGUUCUUACAGCUUUCUAGACAGUUACCUUUUUGUAUUCAUUAGAGGCUUCAUAGACACAGUCCAGACAGUCAGAUAUUUGUUAUGUUAGCCUUGUAGACAGUUCUACUCAGUCAUUCAGUUGUUUUGGUUUAGCCAUGUUGGCUACUUUUAGAUAUGUUCAGAUUGUCUAAGUAUUUCCGCAUUAUGAUAUUUCAGUCAGACUUUUAGUUAACCAGCAUGUGUUAGUUUUAUUUUAGAAAUUAGUUAUG